rnacentral:rRNA from 1 species
UUAGGGAAGGUAAUGACGGUACCUAACGAAUAAGCAUCGGCUAACUCCGUGCCAGCAGCCGCGGUAAGACGGAGGAUGCAAGCGUUAUCCGGAAUUAUUGGGCGUAAAGCGUACGUAGGCGGUUUUAUAAGUCUGUUGUCAAAGCCCGAGGCUUAACCUUGGAAAGGCAAUGGAAACUGUAAGACUAGAGAGAGAUAGGGGCAGGAGGAAUUCCAGGUGUAGCGGUGAAAUGCGUAGAUAUCUG